UUAUCUAAAUAAUUAAAAAUAAAUAAAUCUUGUGGAUUCAACAUUCAAGUAAUGAAACCCUAGAGGUAGAUAAGUUGGAAGUAACAAACCAACAAUUGCAGUGUGGAGAUUUUAUGCCUAAAAGGCAAAAACCAAAGGCCUACAGCGUAUCAUAUCUGUUAAGACUUUUUAACUACUAAUCAGAACUUAUAAACAUGAAACAAAGGUAUGAAAAUCUUAAUUCCUAUAAAAUGGAUAUUACGAUAUGCAAUAGCUUACUUAUAAACAUGAAGGAGAAAUCAUCUUUUAGAUACAAUGGAAAUUGACAUCACUUGUGCCUCAAGCUGAUAAGCUCAAUAUCAAAUAUGAGAGUACUUAAUGUCGAGGCUUCUCCAUUAGCAAGACGCGUUGGAUUGAAAAUGGUUGUAAAAAGCCUCUGCAUUAGGAGGUAUAGGUUCUUGUGUUGUGUUUUGAUAUCCUUGUGAUGGUGGAAUAAUGACUCUACGAAUGCCACCAACUUUCAUUGAUUUUACAGCAACUUCAAUCCCUGAAAUAACUUUCCCUGACCCAAGAACGAAAACGAAAGGAAUUGGUUCAUUAGUAUCAUCUUUGUGAUCAUAUGUCGAAUCAAAUCGCCAUCCUUGCUUUGCCGCCAAUCUACCAUAGUAAUGUAUUGCAACCUGAUCGCCAUCAAGGGGUACUUCGCCAGAACCAAUGCGAAGAUCCAAGGCCUUCACUCCACCGGAAUCUGGGAUCUCCAAAAGCUCAUUUCUUGAAGAAGCAGCAGCUGAGAAUGGGAUAGGGAUUGUAGAUAUCGAAAAAGCUGCGCAUAUUGAAAUGAGUGUUGCAUUAGAUAAAAGUCGUCUUCUCGUUGCUUGAAGUGGUUCAGGAGAUGAUGGUGAUGCUAGCAAGGGGACCGCACGAUAGUGGGUUGCUUGAAUAGAGACUGUGGGUGCGAAGUAAUUCAGUGCCAUGGCCUUAUCUCUCUCUGUGAAUGAACGGAAGAAAAGCGGUUGAGUAGAUGAUGGUUAUCCUGGCAAGCAAGAGCAUCGCACGAUCAUGGGUUGCUUGAAUAGAGACUGUGGGUGCGAAGUAAUUCAGUGCCAUGGCCUUAUCUCUCUCUGUGAAUGAACGGAAGAAAAGCGGUUGAGUAGAUGAUGGUUAUCCUGGCAAGCAAGAGCAUCGCACGAUCA
rnacentral:misc_RNA from 1 species